rnacentral:tRNA from 1 species
GUCACGGUGGUCUAGCGGAGAGAACGCUGGCCUUGUAAUCCUGGGGUCUCGGGUUCGAUUCCCGGCGGUGCCA